AGAGAUACUCGAGACUUGAAGACGAGACCGAGUCGUCUGAAGAAGAUGACUUCCGGGAUGCGCAAUCAGAGCCAAUGCCAAUUUUCGACAAUGCAAAAGAUUUCAAUGGAAAGAAAUCGAGAAAGAAAAAGCGACGGAAAAAGGUACAUCUCUUGAAAGUAUUGCGUAGACUUUCAUGUUUGACGUCUGCAAUGCAAACCAAUCAAAGAAAGUUUCGCUGAAUUAAAAGAAUGAAAUGACAAUGGUUAUGUUUGAGUUGAGAUGUACUCUUCUUUUUAGAGGUCCAAGUCGAUACCAAAUCAUUCAAAACCUCUUAAAUGUGUUGUAAAAUGUAUUUACCUAUAUCGCUAUAUGUAAAUAAUUAUCCAUGCAAUCUCAAAUGUACGCAAUUCAUUGUAAAGUAUUUCCCGCACUGUGUUCAAUGUACAUAUUUAUGCCAGUAUUUUAUUGUUGCCAAAUUUAUUGCAAUCAAGCCUUUUGAGAGAGGAUUUUUUUUAUUUAGCAUCAAUGGAGAGGCAAAAGUAUGUACACCCCUUGAUAAUGCAAAAGUGCAAUUUAUUUUUCCCCUCACUUCCUUUGCAAACUUAUUACGUGCAAUUAUGCAGGAAGUACAGUUAUCCAAUACAAGCGAUUUCGUCUGUGGUGAUGAUAUAUAUAUAAACAAUAUUGUUUGAUGCAGCGAAAAUUUAACAAGCAUCUAUUAAUUCUUUUGAUAGAUGCAUGUUUACAAAGGCCUCAGAAAGAUCGUAUCUUCUGUAGGGAAGGCGUUCGUGAUCGCUCAUGGCGCUUCUUUGCUCACGGUCGAGGAUCUUACUUUUUCUAAACCGACAGGGUAUUUCUUUGCAUGGCUUGUUGUUCGAAAGAUACAUAUCAUGAUGUAUUCAGAAAUCCUCCAUAACCUUGGCCAGGCUAAAAAUAUUGAAGCACGAGUUCAUAUGAGGUCAUAAAACUGUUUUUGUUAUAGGUGUACAAUAUGGCGGAGCUACAAUUGUACUCACGUAUACCAAGGUCACCCCUAAAAUAUCCAAGUCAAUUAGAAUAAGUACAGUUGCCCCCGUACGAUGAAGGAGACUACUGCAUUAAUGAGUUCGUAUAUAUAUCGAGCAAAUUAAGGAUCCUAUGGCAUUAGGUUACAUGUAAUUACUUGCCAAAAGUUCACGAAGUCCCUCUGCUAGUAGGCCAUAAAAUAAACCUUGUAACUCGCCAUCGCGAGUUCCAAUCACAGGUAGUUGUUUCUGUGAUAAUACUUUGGACCCAUAGUAUACUGGUGUAAUAAUAUCCAUGGGUUAAAAAAAAUAUAUAUUACAGAAACAAGUCCUGUAGUUGCAAGCUGUGAAAUGGAGACACCAAAAAAAGAUAUUUGAGAAAAUUAUAUAUGGUUUUCAAACCGAAAUAUUGGCUAUAUUAUUUUAUUUAUUGCAGUUUUAUCAUACAUAUUAUGGGCUGCUGUGUGUUUUGCGAUAGUGUAAAAUAAUGUUUUGAUCAAGAAACUUCUGUGAGCUGGGGUUGCUGAGAAGCAGCUGGGUUUUUGGUAAAAAAAAAAAAUGUUCUCAGUAUGCAAACAAGAUGCUUUGGUGGUGUACUUUCCCUGUAAAAAUCUCUUUGUCUAUAAAUACUCUGAUAUUGUUUAUUUUGUUCUUUUGCUGCAACGUGACAACAUCGUUGGAAAAUUUCGAUUGCCAAAAUGACCAGACGGACUGUUCGGGGAUCGUGGAAGUGGUUAAAGCGGGGGGUUAUGGGAUAUGCGGGUGGGCUGGCAACAGCCAAUAUAUUUAUGCUUUUUUAUAAGAAAGAAUAAACAGAUGUUAUUUUUA